UUAACUAAGGCGUCGUAUGCUGUUGGGUGUUGUAUCGUUGAAGGCUGGGUCGACCACUGGUGUACCGAUGUCUCCUGGGUAUGGCGGAUGCCAAACCGCAACGCUGCCGCCUUACUACACAACAACAACAUACGCAACAACCGGUUCCUACACCACCAAGGCUCAAGAGUGUUACAAUUCAUGAUGCCCCGAGUUGCUACCCCGAACCCCGAGUUACAUCACCAGAGGCGGAGUACUACACCGAGGCUCCUAAGUACUACAACCGCAAUACUACACGUCUAUGUAUGCUGCCCCUGCCUACUACACCGAGGCCCCGCAUUACUACGACACCGAAGCGCUCAAGUACUACACUACAACCUACGCUGCCCCGAGCUACUACACCUACGUACCAAAGAAUUACUGUGCGUAAAAGGAGUCGUUGAAAAAAGAAGUCGUGCCCAAACUGCAGUGCCUUAUCUGUCGCCAACAGGAUUCCUCAUCGUGUAACCGAUUCUCAAUUAUGGUCAACUAUGGCGUCGUGCUCCUGUUGGUUGUUGUAUCGUUGAUGGCUGGAUCGACCACUGAUGUACCAAUGUCUCCGCAAACAAAACCGCAACGCCGCACCUACCUCCACCUCCUAACUUACGCAACGAGGUUCCUGCACCACGGUCUUCCAGUACUACACCACUAAAGCACCGGAGUUUUAUACCACAACUUACGCUGCCCCGAGUCACUACACUGACGCCCUGAAGUAUUACUCUGCCCCGAGUUACUACACCAUCAAGGCGACGGAGUACUACAUGACAACGCAUGCUGUCCCAUCCGACUACACCGAGGCUCCCAACUGCUACCCGAGGUUCCCGCUAAUUACUUCGCCAAAACGGUCGAGUACUACACCGAAGCGGCAAGUCCUUCUGUGCCCCGAUCUACACAACAACAACUGAGGCGACCAAGAAUUACGCAGUCCCGACUUGACACACAAAAGCUGCUCUUUCGUGUUAAAUUGAACUGAAACACUACACUGAUGCUCCAGUCUACUACACCACGACCUACGCUACACCUAGCUACAACACCGCAGCUCCCAAGUACUACACCGAAGAAGCUGCCUAUUGCACAACUACGUACGCUGCCUAGUUUACUACACCGAGGAAUUCAAUUAUAACCCUGUCUGGGCUUUCUUCGUUGCCUUCCAAAUUUUAUUCUUCACAUGGAGAACUUAAGAAUAAUUUAAUUGUAGAAAUUUCGAUUUAGUGUACAAUGGACAUGCGGUUUUGGUGCCGGUCGAUAUGUCAAUCCCUAUUCCAUUAAUCACUGUUAUUGAAAGGUUUGGAUGUCAAGUGUCAACUCAGUGGAUGAAUUCUAUACAAAGACAAUUAUCACUCCUGAAAUUGUAGCAGUGGAAGGAGUGGUGUUGGUACUAGAACAUUUUUAUGGCAAAAAGAGGGUUUUGCAGAAUGUUUUAUCAAAACCUUUGUUUUUGUUUGACUGUGUAGUUUGACUGUUAUUUUUUUCUUGGAUUAAGUCCGUCUCCUUGCCUGUGCAUGUGGUAAAGAAUCCAUUCAAUAAUUCAACUAAAUAUCGAAAUUUUUCGAUAUUUUCCUGCUGGUCAUGAGGAUUGGAUUUGUGCCUUAGCCUAUAUUGUGAAGUUAUGAUUUGUCCCCCAUCUUUUGGAUGUUUCGGGAUCCUUCUGGAGCAGAAUAGAAAGUUGUCCGAGUUUUCGAAGUUCCUCACUAUUUUCUAUGGAAUUUGGUUUAAAUUUGUCGUAUUGAUCAACCAAUGACAUAACUCUGCUGCGAGUAGUCUAUGGAUCUGGUGUUAUGCUGAAAUGUAGAAUCAUGACUUGAAGUGGAAUAACUGCAAGAAGACUUCUUGAAAUGGUAAUUGGAUAAUCCAAUUUGGAUUGAAAUUAUGUUGAAUAAUAUCCUCAAAAGAAAGGUAUAGAUGGUUGGUAUAGUAGUUGAAGUCUAGGAAAAAUUACAAUCUACUUGAUUUUAUUUAUAUUGAUUUUAGUAAUUGCUAAUUGGAAAACUUUGGUUUACUAUAGACUUAAAUUGCUUGUAUCAAAAUAAUUUUUAAGAGCUGUUGCUUAAUUCAAUUAACUCCUGUCAUUUAAAUAUAUGUUCCUUAAUAGAAAUUUAAGUAUGUUUAAAAGUGUAAUAGCCAGGUAAAAUCUCUUAUUCAUUGCUUUAAUACAAUUCAAAAGUA
rnacentral:lncRNA from 1 species